rnacentral:rRNA from 1 species
CCACAUCACGAAAGUGGGUUGUACUAGAAGCGGCAGAGCUAACUCGCAAGAGGGGCAUGUCUCUACGGUAUGAUUCAUGAUUGGGGUG